rnacentral:rRNA from 1 species
AUUGAACGCUGGCGGCAUGCCUUACACAUGCAAGUCGAACGGUAACAGGUCUUCGGACGCUGACGAGUGGCGAACGGGUGAGUAAUACAUCGGAACGUGCCCAGUCGUGGGGGAUAACUACUCGAAAGAGUAGCUAACACCGCAUACGAUCUGAGGAUGAAAGCGGGGGACCUUCGGGCCUCGCGCGAUUGGAGCGGCCGAUGGCAGAUUAGGUAGUUGGUGGGAUAAAAGCGUACCAGGCCGACCAUCUGUAGGUGGUCUGGGAGGACGACCAGCCACACUGGGACUGAUACACGGCCCAGACUCCUACGGGAGGCAGCAGUGGGGAAUUUUGGACAAUGGGCGAAAGCCUGAUCCAGCAAUGCCGCGUGCAGGAUGAAGGCCUUCGGGUUGUAAACUGCUUUUGUACGGAACGAAAAAGUCUCCUCUAAUACAGGAGGCCCAUGACGGUACCGUAAGAAUAAGCACCGGCUAACUACGUGCCAGCAGCCGCGGUAA